AAUAAGAUAAAUUACAUACAAUCUAAAUAACAAAUUUAAACUUUUUAGCUUUACUUUCCAUGAUCUAAACACAUUUAUUUCACAUAUGAUGGAUGCUGGUUGAUUUUAAGAUCUUUGUCACUUCGAACAAGUAUCACUAUGUCAUGAAGAAAUCUCUAAUGAACAGUUAGAACCAGCUCAUUUCCAGGUCUUCUAGUUUCCCAAUCCUAGGUUCAAUCAAACACAGGUCCCAAACUUCCUAGAAAUCCAUUGGGGUUUUCAAAUGUAGUAUUUAUUUUUUCUAGACAUCACAAUAUCCAACUUCAGGAUUUCAAAAAAACCCAAUUUAUGUGAACUUCCUCCCAAUUAUCAAACAGGCCCUAGGAGUCUAUAGCCUAGAUUAAGCCCCAUAAAUCAAUUUGACCAACUUAAAUUAACCUAGCCCCAUGAGACCCUCCAAAGUAUAAAAAUAAAAAUUUAUUUAAGUGGGUCUUAAAACCCUUAUGAAGGCUCCAUCUUUUAAACAACUCUUUAUCCCAUAUGAUACCUCCUUCAACACAACCACAACUCCCUCAUUAAAAUCCUC
rnacentral:lncRNA from 1 species